UACGAAGGGGGCUAGCGUUGCUCGGAAUCACUGGGCGUAAAGGGUGCGUAGGCGGGUCUUUAAGUCAGGGGUGAAAUCCUGGAGCUCAACUCCAGAACUGCCUUUGAUACUGAAGAUCUUGAGUUCGGGGGAGGUGAGUGGAACUGCGAGUGUAGAGGUGAAAUUCGUAGAUAUCGGGAGGAACACCGGUGGCGAAGGCGGCGAUCUGGGUAGAUACUGGCGCUGAGGUGCGAAAGCGUGGGGAGCAAACAGG
rnacentral:rRNA from 1 species